rnacentral:tRNA from 1 species
UCCUGGCUAACUCAGUCGGUAGAGCAAGAGACUCAUAAUCUCAGAGUCGUGGGUUUGACCCACACGUUGGGCG